rnacentral:rRNA from 1 species
CAGCAGCCACGGAAUACGUAGGUGGCAAGCGUUGUCCGGAAUUAUUGGGCGUAAAGGGCUCGCAGGCGGUUUCUUAAGUCUGAUGUGAAAGCCCCCGGCUCAACCGGGGAGGGUCAUUGGAAACUGGGAAACUUGAGUGCAGAAGAGGAGAGUGGAAUUCCACGUGUAGCGGUGAAAUGCUUAGAGAUGUGGAGGAACACCAGUGGCGAAGGCGACUCUCUGGUCUGUAACUGACGCUGAGGAGCGAAAGCGUGGGGAGCGAACAGGAUUAGAUACCCCCGUAGUCCCUGUCUCUUAUACC